UACUGCAUGCAUUUACACGGCAAACAAAGCUGCCAUUGCGAUUAUUACAAGAAACACAGUAUUUUACCACUUUUACCAGGUCUGAAGUUAGUUUUGGACGUCAAAUUCAUCAACGCCAACUGUACUGCUGGAUAACUGAAACUAAAGCCAAGAUUGAAUAAACACAGUUACAUUGGUUCUUCGGAGGCCAGCUCAGUUGAUUGUUGUACUUAUACAAUCCCAAGAGGAAUUUGCCAUCCGUAAUAGUUCCUUUUCGUCAACAAGCCACCUGACUUAACAAAGCUUUAAUGAAACUUCCAUUUAAAAGUUGUAAACAACGGGUCUCCUGGAGGAUACAAGCACUUGGGCUGGUACCAACCUACACCAUGGACGAGAAGAGGUUUCAUAUUCAACAAGAUGGAUUUUCCAUUUCUUUCAUUAAAAGAAAGAGUACCGAAUUCCAAUGACUUGGGCAGUCCUUUGAUCGAUGAGGUAAUACAGCUUCAUAGAUACAAUAAAUAAUUUUUUAUGCAGUUCAUGCAGGUAUAUCAAAGUUCAACUCUUAUUUUUGGUACAUGUAUUUCCAAAUUCUUUAAAAGAAAGAAAGAACUAUCGAAUUGAAUGAAAAAUUAACUUUUUUUAUAUAUAUAUUGUAUCGUAUCCGAACAUCUACCCCCUGGACAUCCACCCCCCGGACAUCCACCACCCGGACAUCCACCCCCCGGACAUCCACCCCCUUAGGACAUCUACCCCCUAGGACAUCUACCCCCGGACAUUUACCCCCCGGACAUCUACCCCCCGGACAAUUACCCCCCGGACAUUUACCCCCCCGGACAUCUACCCCCGGACAUUUACCCCCCGGACAUUUACCCCCCGGACAUCUACCCCCCGGACAUCUACCCCCUGGACAAUUACCCCCUGGACAUUUACCCCCCCCCCCCCAGACAUCUACCCCCGAGCAUCUACUCACGGAUAUUUUGGAUACGGGGGGUUCCAAAAUUACGCAUCAUUUCAUAAGUGCAUGCAGACCCAAAAUUGCACAAAAACGUAAAUUUGUGUACAAAUCCAAUGCAAAUAGAGUUUUUAGCCAAAAUUCAUAAAUGUAUAGUUUUUCCAUUUACUGAUUGAAAUCAAUUAAUUCCAUCUUAUUUAUGGUCCAAAUAAAGUCCCCGACAAUUUCCAUUGAAAAAACAAUAAAAACAAAGUCCAAAAACAAAGAAAUACAUAAGAAAUUUUGAAAACAGUUAAAUACCUGAAAAAAUUAAUGUGAUUUUGAAAUUUUUUGUUAGUACAUUUGAACAGAUUAAUAUAAAGUGUCUGUGUACCAAAAAUUAGCAUUUUAGGGGCAUUAUUUAGUUAAUUAAAGCAAAAUUCUGAUUUCAUGCAUAAAUUAGCAUAAUUAAUUAGCAAUGAGAUUUUUCACAGAGUUUGAUCAUGUAGUUUUGUAUAUUAUGCCAUUGGUAACGCGGGUGCCAAGUUUCGUCGCGAUCAACGGCCGAGAUCAUAAGGAGGGGGGCUGAAUCAGACCCCCCCCCCCACAGUCUUCUUAGGCAUCGAAAUAGCCCAGUCUAUUUAGGUUUAAUUCAUGUGUAAUAUCUGUUUUAUAAAUCUUCCAAAUGAUACCAAGUAUCGUUCAAGUGGGUUUAAAGGGGAAGUUCACGCUGACAAAAAGUUUAUUGUUAAAACAGAAGAAAAAAAUAAUAAAAAUAUUGCCUAAGUUUUGAGGAAAAUCCAUCAAAGAAUUAAAAAGUUAUUUGAAUUUCAAUUAUUUGAGUUGUAACGUCAUAUUCGGGCAGCAUUUCUACAUAAUGAAUGUUUUUUUUUCUAUACCUUUUCUAUAUCAAAGGACCAAUCAUUUUACACCCAAACAUG